AUGAUCUCUGAAUCGAGAAGCACUUAUAAGCGAACAUCGAGAUCCAUCUCAACCGGUGCGGCAAAUCAUCUUUUCAACUAUGAUUCUCGUCGUCAAGAUUUCCGAUUUCCACGUGAAAUCGGCAGAAUGACAGAAGAAAGGAUUUCACAUCCAGAUAUAGGGUUGCGCCGGGGUCCGAAGGAAAUUUCCGUGAAAGCUGGGCAGAACCCUCACAAUCCGCUGCCCGAGCUGGUUGCACCUGUACUUUCUGCCACAGUUGAGGCGAUUACAAGGAGGCAUCAGAAGGAUACCACAAGUUUGUAG